ACACCAUCAAAAGAUUCUUAAAGCCUGUCCUGUCGUCCCCUGCUCCCCCUCUCUCCUCUUUAAGGCCACUCAAACCAACCUAGCCACAUUAUAGAUGAUUUUCAUCCAAAAGAAAAAUGAAAAAAUCGCACAGGAAAAAUUGGAUUGAAGACCAUGAUUACUGCUUCAUCAAAAUCAGAGAGCACUCGUUGUCAAAGCAUUUUGGUUUGUGCCAAGAAAGGAGCAAAGCAAAAUUGGAAAUUGAUGUUAUUCAAGCUCCUAAGCAGCGAAACUCUCAAGUCCAUUUAUUCUGCAGAAGUCCAAGUCGAGCAUCUCAGGUUAAGUUGAAGCUUCUACCACCAGGUCCGUCCAGUACGCAUACCUUGAAGCUCUCAUUGCUGCAAUGGUGCGUAUACUAUAUGCAUCCGUGUAUUAAAAAUCUGAAACAGUAACAUUUUCAUGAACAAUUGAUAUUAAUGUUGUUUCGA